UCACUUUACUGCAUUUUGCAGCAGGAGGAGGAGGAGCAACAACAACAAUGGUGCAGUUCACAGCAAAUUGUCUCAUCACAGCCCUGCCUGCCCACUUCACUGCAGAGUGAAUGGGAUGCAGAGGGUUUCUACUCUCCUGGUAUCCUUGAAAACGUUCCUGAUCUAUGGAAGUCUCAGGGCCACCUGGGUUAGGCACUAAGAGGAAGGAAGCACCAGAAGAUCAGAUGAAAGUCACCGUCAGCUGAUCACCAGACCCAGAAGACACAACUGGAGCACCAAGUCAGGAAUAACUGCGACUGAGCAUAUGGAUUUUCUGAAGAUAACUGUGAGAUUUGUUACAGCACUCGGCUAAAAGCAUCACCACUUAAGAAAGUGCUAUAAUAUGUUUGUGGAACAUAUGUGUCCCCGUAUGAGCCUCACUUAUAGUUAGGGUGACCCAGCCUGAUCCUGGAAGACGUGCAGAGUGCAGACGGCAGUGUGACAUCCAUUUUUGCAAAUCCAAUUGCAACUACUGAGAGUUUAAUGCAGGCUUAUGAUGGCACAGUCAUUUUAGGUAACAUUACUGCUUUUUGUAAUUUGC